rnacentral:rRNA from 1 species
CUACGGGCGGCUGCAGUGAGGAAUAUUGCACAAUGGGGGGAACCCUGAUGCAGCAACGCCGCGUGGAGGAUGACGCAUUUCGGUGUGUAAACUCCUUUUAUAUGUCAAGAAAAUGACGGUAGCAUAUGAAUAAGCACCGGCUAACUCCGUGCCAGCAGCCGCGGUAAUACGGAGGGUGCAAGCGCUACUCGGAAUCACUGGGCGUAAAGGACGCGUAGGCGGGUUGGAAAGUCAGGUGUGAAAUCCUACAGCUUAACUGUAGAACUGCACUUGAAACUUCUAAUCUAGAGUAUGGGAGGGGGGGAUGGAAUUAGUGGUGUAGGGGUAAAAUCCGUAGAUAUCACUAGGAAUACCUAAAGCGAAGGCGAUCUCCUGGAACAUUACUGACGCUAAGGCGUGAAAGCGUGGGGAGCAAACAGGAUUAGAUACCCUAGUAGUC